UACGAAGGGGGCUAGCGUUGCUCGGAAUCACUGGGCGUAAAGCGCACGUAGGCGGAUCGUUAAGUCAGGGGUGAAAUCCUGGAGCUCAACUCCAGAACUGCCUUGAUACUGGCGACCUUGAGUUCGGGAGAGGUGAGUGGAACUGCGAGUGUAGAGGUGAAAAUUCGUAGAUAUUCGCAAGAACACCAGUGGCGAAGGCGGCUCACUG
rnacentral:rRNA from 1 species